UUUCCCACCGCAAGGGUAAGACCCCAGAAAGACUAUCUGGUUGAUAGGUCGAAGGUGUAAGUGCAGUAAUGUAUUUAGCUUAUCGAUACUAAUAGGUCGAGGACUUGACCAA
rnacentral:rRNA from 1 species